rnacentral:rRNA from 1 species
AUUGAACGCUGGCGGCAGGCUUAACACAUGCAAGUCGGGCGAGUGGCGGACGGGUGAGUAAUGUAUGGGGAUCUGCCUGAUGGAGGGGGAUAACUACUGGAAACGGUCGCUAAUACCGCAUACCAUCGGAUGAGCCCAUGUGGGAUUAGCUAGUAGGUGAGGUAAAGGCUCACCUAGGCGACGAUCCCUAGCUGGUCUGAGAGGAUGACCAGCCACACUGGGACUGAGACACGGCCCAGACUCCUACGGGAGGCAGCAGUGGGGAAUAUUGCACAAUGGGCGCAAGCCUGAUGCAGCCAUGCCGCGUGUAUGAAGAAGGCCUUCGGGUUGUAAAGUACUUUCAGUCGGGAGGCGUUACCGACAGAAGAAGCACCGGCUAACUCCGUGCCAGCAGCCGCGGUAAUAC